ACCGCUUUGACCACCCCUCGAUUUUCUCCCCGCACUUCCUCUCUCCCCAUUAUCUCCACCGCCUCGAACUCCAUCCCUGCCCCAGGCCUGCUGCCUUCCUCCCCCUGCCUGGCCAUGUCCGGCGCCGCCGUCUCCUCCUUUUCCGUUUCCACACCACCGCAGUGCUCGGCCGCGCCCCUACGUGCUAGAGGCUAGGGUUCAGCACGGUGGGCAUGGCGACCGCGUCCGCCGCGACGGACGAUGUCCGGCAGCCGUGCAGGCCGAUUCCGGGCGCGCAGCUGUGCUCCGGAUCCAAGAACCUGGCCCGAAGCCGCCGGUGGUGAUCGUGCACUAGUGGCCGAGCGCGCGGAACGCCCACGUCGUGGAGGUCCAUCGCGGAUUUCGCGCGGCGCGGGCGCCGUGGCGCGCUGGUUCUAGGCGCUUCUGGGCGCGUCACAGACGUUGUGGUCUGCAAGGAGCCCUCGCUGCUCGAGCUCCGGGGCACGGCCAUGAUCCUAGGAUUGCAGGGCGCUUCUUCCCUCCCUCUGCCUCACCAGCGGCGUGGUGGUGUUCCUGGACAGGCUGCCGGGCGCCGUGCUGGGCGGUGGCCUCGCCGAGGGAGGGCUUGUGGCCGCAGGGUCAUGGUGGCCACGUUCGAUCGGUUGCCGCUACUGAAGGGUAUGGCGUGGCCGGACACUUGCGGUGCGAUGGCCUGCAGCUGCAGCAGCAGUCCGGUACCAGGUGUUCCCACCGCACAAAGAAACACGCGAAUCGACCAGCCCCACCGUUACCCUGGUCUCGCCGUGUCCGUGUAGUGGCUGUGGUUUCUGGCGGCGGAUGCGUCGGCGGCGUCCCUCUAUGGAGAGUCUCUCGGCGCAGCCCUGCACGCAGGUUUCCGCGGGUUCGUACGCCUCCUCUCGCUGACUCUGUCAUUCUGCGCAAGCGACCGCAGAAGUAGGGGAACGAGGCCUUGCUUGACUCCGUCCUCAAGCCGAGCAGCGGACAAAUCAGGGGAUCUCACCGAGGCCUGGCACGCACCCGGUGUGGAUGCCUGGGUCACCUAGGCGGCGAGCGGCAGAAGGUAGACGGAGAACUGGAGAAGGGGAUCCCAAUUAGGCCUGUCGCACCGGGCAGGUCCUCCAGCGUCCCAGCAGCCGCCUCCUCCCCCAGAUCAAACUGAAUAACGUGAACUGUUGGAUGCCGAGGCCUGGAUCAUUUUUGCUGCAUCACCGGCACGACAUCCGUGCUCUGCUGGAUUAUAGAUUUUAGCUAUCUAUUUAAGAUUAAACUGAGCUAAGUCAAUCACCUUCCUAAGUUAUUCUGUACUUCCCUCUUCCACGUACCAAUUUCUAUACAUUAUGUAUUUCAGUUCUACAGCUGAUAAUUAUGUACACACGUGUAUAUCAAGUCUGCAGCAAAUAAUUUUUUUCACUUCGAUCGUUUCAAUUCAUAUAUGAGAUCCUAUGAAAGAACAUGAACUGACAUAGUUGUCAUUUUCUUACACUUCUAUUGCAACAGGUCGCUAUUAAGUUGGCAUCAACCAGUGGCCAGGGAAUGGCUGUAUACGAUGUGUUUGACUUUGAUCCAUAGCUUUCAUGUAAAGCAAAUGAAGAACAUGCCAUGACACUUGAUUUUCAUGCCAUUGUUUUGAUUCUUGGAUUCUUGAUGUGAGCCUAGACCAAAUGUUCCUCCACCCUCGGUUGAAUCAUUUAUUCUUACAAAAGAAGGUAAUCAUAGAAGCUCUUUAAUAUUAAUGGAAGCUUGAUGAAAAAUUAUGUUAUGUAUUUUAAACUCUUGAAAUGUCGAUGCCAUUUUUAGGUGCUACUGAAGUUGAUAUGGCUUAACUCAAGCACCACAAAAUCAUAAUAACAUUGUCUUGCAUGGUCAAGAACUGAUGACCUUGAGGACCAACAACAUCAGUCGUGGUAAUCAUUCUAAAGUGACUGUUCAUAAGCCUAUGAUGUGGUCACCAGCCCCCAACAUUUAAUAAAACAAUGCGCUAAUGUCUAACUAGAGAUCCUCUAUGGAUGAUUGGAUGCAGCCAGGAAUACCUGAAACCGAGUUUACGGAUGUCAAUUCAGUUAAUCAUUAAUCUUUUGGUGAUUGCAUGGGCUAUUUCAUGUACACCUUUGAUGUGGCCGCUAACUGUCUUAGUUCAUUCAAAACCCAGUUCUAGGUUGAUGCGAACAAAGAAUUAUUCAAGUACUUGAGUUAUCGAGAACGGUUGAUUCGUGAACUGGUAGAUCUUAUUUUAUAGUAAGUAGUGUCCAAAACUUUCUGGGAGGUCAUGUAGUUGAUGCUUUGUCAUGUAUGUCUAAAUACAUGGCUCCUGAGUUGAGGAAUAUAUUGAUUCUUUUCUGCAGUUUCAAUAUUGUUUUUCUGCAUCACAAAAAGCUCUUUUUAUCUUAGUGGAAACUUCAUGAAAAAUACAUAGCUAGCCUGGCUCCCGGCGCAGCGGCCGGUUGGUCGUCUCUGCGUGCCCGGCUUGCUGGCCCUGCGGGCUACCCUGACCGACGCCCGCUAGCGCGGUGGAGAGGCUAGGCAUUUUUUUACCCGAGUCGGCGCAUCGGCAGUUGCAUCGAGGACCCUUCGUGUCAGUUCGUGGGGUACCCACACUACGUCGCGUGCCAUCUCCGGCAUGCUGUUUUGUGCCAUGGGCUUGGCCAGGAGGCAUCUGGUGCAGACUAGGCUGAGCAAGUAUCAGUUUUAUGGAAUUCUUUUUCCAAGGUAUGCCAAUUUUGUUUCCAUUAAGAACCAUCUGUUGCUCCUACUAUGCUUGAGACACCUUAUGAUAUUUAUGUGAGCUACUGUAGUGUCAACAUAUUUUCAAAUGACUUGCCAAUUUGAUCAGCACUUCAGACUGGGGGUGCUUUAUUGCAUUCAAAGGAUGUUUGAGGAAAAGUUAUGUCCGCAUGGAUGUAUAUAAUAGCUCUAGGCGUCAGUGGCCAAAUGCAGCAACAAAGCCAAGGUAUUUUGUUCAAUAAUUAGCACUGGUAUUUAAAAGCGGCAUAUUCGUUUCUCAUUUUUAUCCGGCCCGCAUUUGUACUCAUGGCCCGUAGACCAUGAUAUCAGUAGAUGCCCUCCAACAGCACAACUUCACUCUAAUGGUGCCAAGUCUAUUAUCUCUUUUGUCCAGGUUGUAACUGGUCCUACACAUAAAUGCUUGGAGAUAUCAGAUAUCUCAAGAUCAACCAAAAAAUAGGAACUUACUUCCCCAUAGUAAAUUAGUCGACGCCGGUGAACUGCUCACAUCUACCUGUGUUUUUCUUUCAGACUUCUUACUAAUCAGUCGGUACUAAUAUGGCACAAAUAUUUUAUAUUGGUAGGCUGCUUCUAUUUUACUGCAUGGCAUAUUCGAAAACAGUUAAAUAAGUGAUUUAAGAUUCAGUAUGUGUUCUUCUCUUCAGUUAGUUCUGAAAGAAGGGACAGAUAGAUGAUUUUUCUUCAGGUUAUGCAUUUUUUUUUACUUGCUAAAUAGUUCCUGAAUAACAGGAACCAUCCUCAGUUCAAACAUGAAUACAAAAAUAAGCUAUUUACCUAAUUUUUAUGCCACCCCAUUGCUCGCUACAGGUACUACCAUACCAUUUUUUUCUUUCAAUCCGCAGCCAUAUAUUUCAGAUCCGUUCAUUUAGUUUAGAAAAUAUAAUGUAGUAAGGGAUUUAGAAUAUUGAGCACGUAGUACCAAGUUGCGAAUAUAAAUUGAUGGAUGGCAUUGAUCCUUGGUUGGAUGAGAUGACUGAGGGCCUGCAUGUAGCUUUGAGAAUGGACGCUCAGGUGUGUUAUUGCUCACAAGCGAGAAGUUAACAAGUAGGAAUAGCUAAAUCACUAUAACAUUUGUGUUUUAGACUUCUACGUAUGACCUACCGUUUGGAAGAUUUUACGUUGAUAGUUAAAUUGUAUUGUCUUCAUCACUACUUAAAUCAUACAUGGUAAAAAAUAAUCUCGAAUUGCCUCUCUUGUGUCUCUUUUCAGUCAGAUUUUAUUUGUACAGGAUCUACUUAUGAUUCUUUCGCUCUAUUAAUGGCCAUGAUAUGAAUGUGUUCUUUGUAACUACCUCGGACCAGAAGCACAACUCACCUAGCUAAAUAUGCAUGCAGUAUCAAACAGAGCUAGUACACUCUUCUCCAACUUCUAAUCCGGCGCGGCGUGCCGCCGCGCCAUCAUUUGCUAGUAUGAUCAAGAAGAGUGAAAAGUCUAAGCUUGGGGAUGCCCCCGUGGUUCAUCCCUGCAUAUUUCAAGAAGACUCAAGCAUCUAAGCUUGGGGAUGCCCAAGGCAUCCCCUUCUUCAUCGACAACAUUAUCAGGUUCCUCUAGUGAAACUAUAUUUUUAUUCCGUCACAUCUUAUGUGCUUUACUUGGAGCGUUUGUAUGUUCUUGUUUUUGUUUUGUUUAAAUAAAAUUGGAUCCUAGCAUUCAUUGUGUGGGAGAGAGAUACGCUCCGCUGUUGCAUAUGAACAAAUAUGUUCUUAGCUUUAUUCUUAAUGUUCAUGGCGAAGGUUGAAACUGCUUCGUUAAUUAUUAUAUGGUUGGAAACAGAAAAUGCUACAUGUGGUAAUUGGUAUAAUAUCUUGAAUAAUGUGAUACUUGGCAAUUUUUGUGCUCAUAUAGAUCAUGUUUAAGCUCUUUCAUCAUAUACUUUGCACCUAUUAGUGAAGAAAUACAUACAGCUUGCUGAAAUUUGGUUUGCAUGAUUGGUCUCUCUAGAGUCUAGAUAUUUUCUGGUAAGGGUUUGAGCAACAAGGAGGACGGUGUAGAGUUUUAUAAUGCUUGCAAUAUGUUCUUAUGUGAGUUUUGCUUUACCAGUUCAUACUUGUGUUUGCUUCAAAUAACCUUGCUAGCCUAAGCCUUGUAUUGAGAGGGAUUACUUCUCAUGCAUCCAAAAUCCUUGAGCCAAAAACUAUGCCAUUUGUGUCCACCAUACCUACCUAUUAUGUGGUAUUUCUCUGCCAUUCCAAAGUAAAUUGCUUGAGUGCUACCUUUAAAAUUCUAUUCCUUGUCUUUGCAAUAUAUAGCUCAUGGGAAAAAUAGCUUAAAAACUAUUGUGGUAUUGAAUAUGUACUUAUGUAUCUUAUUUCUUUUUAAGUUGCUUGUUGAGCGAUAACCAUGUUCCUGGGGAUGCCAUCAACUACCUCUGUUGAAUAUAAUGUGAGUUGCUAUGCAUGUUUGUCUUGUCUGAAGUAAGGGUGAUUUAUCAUGAGUUGAAUGGUUUGAGUAUGCAUAUUGUUAGAGAAGAACAUUGGGCCGCUAACUAAAGCCAUGAAACAUGGUGGAAGUUUCAGUUUUGGACAACAAUCCUCAAUCUCUUAUGAGAAUAUUAUUUGUUGUUGAAUGCUUAUGCAUUAAAGAGGAGUCCAUUAUCCGUUGUCUAUGUUGUCCCGGUAUGGAUGUCUAAGUUGAGAAUAAUCAAAAGCGAGAAAUCCAAUGCGAGCUUUCUCCUUAGACCUUUGUACAAGCGGCAUAGAGGUACCCCUUUGUGAUACUUGGUUAAAACAUAUGUUAUGCAAUGAUAAUCCAUGUAAAUCCAAGCUAAUUAGGACAAGGUGCGGGCACUAUUGGUAAUCUAUUCAUGAGGCUUGCAACUUAUAGGAUAUCUUAUACAUAACACAUAUGCUUUAUUACUACCGUUGACAAAAUUGUUUCUCGUUUUCAAAAUAAAAGCUCUAGCACAAAUAUAGCAAUCCAUGCUUCCCUAUUCGAAGGGCCAUUCUUCUACUUUUAUGUUGAGUCAGUUUACCUACUUCCUUCCAUCUUAGAAGCAAACACUUGUGUCAACUGUGCAUUGAUUCUUACAUGCUUGCUUAUUGUACUCAUUAUUCUACUUUGUGUUGACAAUUAUCCAUGAGAUAUGUAUGUUGAAAGUUGAAAGCAACUGCUGAAACUUAAAUCUUCCUUUGUGUUGCUUCAAUGCCUUUACCUUGAAUCUAUUGCUUUAUGAGUUAACUCUUAUGCAAGACUUAUUGAUGCUUGUCUUGAAAUUACUAUUCAUGAAAAGUCUUUGCUAUAUGAUUCAGUUGUUUAAUCAUUGUCUUUACCAUUGCUUUGAAUCACUUCAUUCAUCUCAUAUGCUUUACAAUAGUAUGAUCAAGAUUAUGUUGGUAGCAUGUCACUUCAGAAAUUAUCUUUGUUAUCGUUUACCUACUCGAGGACGAGUAGGAACUAAGCUUGGGGAUGCUGAUACGUCUCCAACGUAUCUAUAAUUUCUGAUGUUCCAUGCUUGUUUUAUGACAAUACCUACAUGUUUUGUUCACACUUUAUAUCGUUUUGAUGCAUUUUCCGGAACUAACCUAUUAACAAGAUGCCGAAGUGCCAGUUCCUGUUUUCUGCUGUUUUUGGUUUCAGAAAUCCUAGUAAGGAAAUAUUCUCGGAAUUGGACGAAAUCAACGCCCAGAACCUUAUUUUUCCCGGAAGGUUCCAGAGCACCGAAAAGAUUACGAAGUGGGGCCACGAGGCGGUGACACAAUAUGGCGGCGCGGCCUAGGGGGGGCGCUCCCCUACUGUGAGGGGCCCCAGACCCCUUCCGACUCCGUUUCUCCGCCUAUUUAAGCCGUCCUGACCUAAAAACUUCGGGGGAAUAAGCCACGGUACAAGAAACCUUCCAGAGCCGCCGCCAUCGCGAAGCCAAGAUCUGGGGGACAGGAGUCUCUGUUCCGGCACACCGCCGGGACAGGGAAGUGCCCCCGGAAGGCAUCUCCAUCGACAUCACCGCCAUCUUCAUCACCGCUGCUGUCUCCCAUGAGGAGGGAGUAGUUCUCCAUCGAGGCUAAGGGUCAGCACUGGUAGCUAUGUGGUUAAUCUCUCUCCCAUGUACUUCAAUACAAUGAUCUCAUGAGCUGCCUUACAUGAUUGAGAUUCAUAUGAGCUUUGUAUCACUAUUAAUCUAUGUGCUACUCUAGUGAUGUUAUUAAAGUACUCUAUUCCUCCUCCAUGAUGUAAUGGUGACAGUGUGUGCAUCAUGUAGUACUUGGCGUAGUUUAUGAUUGUAAUCUCUUGUAGAUUAUGAAGUUAACUAUUACUAUGAUGUUAUUGAUGUGAUCUAUUGCUCCUUUCAUAGUAUGAUGGUGACAGUGUGCAUGCUA